rnacentral:misc_RNA from 1 species
CCCAUUCUUCAAACACAACCAACAAGUUCCCUGUUGGGUUCAGCCAUGAACGAGGGACAUGGUACCAUCUCUGUGAAGCCUCCCCACAAUUACUUAAGCAUUUAUUCUCACUAAAUGUUCCUGCAUAAUUACAGAAACCACAAGUACCAGAUGCUUUAUAUGCAGGCCAGUAUCGUCCAACACUCCGUCCAUUUAUCCAUACUUGACCUUUACCCAUGCUAUCCAUAUCCACAGCCAAUGGAGAAUUUCCAGCUGGAGCAUUGAAAGU